rnacentral:lncRNA from 1 species
GGCCGCGGCCGGCUGGGGGCGGGAGCCGGGCGAGAGGACACGGUCGUCCUCACGUUUGAAAAAUUCAGCCAGCCUCCGUUUUGUUUCUCCAGGGGAAGUGGCAGGUGUAUUUUGUAGGGAAACGUAGCCAUACCCGUACAUAAUAUUCCGAGGUUCGUCUUUUAAGGGCAGAUUUGGGAGACUGGUAAGAACAGCAAAGUAUUCCUAAGGCAAAAAUGGACCGUGCAUUUAAAUGCUAAGAAGGAGAACAAAUCAACUCAUGUUGGUGAAAUGGCUUUGCUGACUGGAAAUUACAUUAUUGUUAAUUGUUGAUUAUUCAACAUUAAGACAGGAAGCCCCAAAUGGACCGAUGGUAAGGUGGUUCGGUUAAUAGUUGGUAACAUGUUUGAUGGGUGCAGGGCAUUCAGUAUUGCCUCUUCUAUUCUGUUUAUCAGAUGAAACUGGAAAACAGGGAAAGAAUCUGAAGGGCUUCUGUCUGCUAAAUGCCUAGAACAGGUAAGAGGGGCUACGAUGUAAGCACUAGGCUGGAGGUUUCUUAAAAAUACCAUGUGACAGGAUAUUAGUCAAGCUUUGAAAAACACAAUUCGGGCUGGUAAAUUUUAGGUUGGGUUGAUACAAGUUAUGAAAAUGUUCAGAUCCUGGAGAACUUCGUGUUUGUUUUUGCUAGUAUUGGUAUUUUAUCAAAAGGACCGUUAAGUUCUCGAUAAGGUGAGGGUGGAGUAAGUUUUGCAUAACCGGUGAUGAAACUGUGUAUUUGUAAUUGAAUUAGUUGAAUAGAAAACACAAGCAGAAAAGUGGCAGCAGUGUGGAGUGGUGUUAAGAGCCAGUCUCUGGAGGUGGGUAGCCUAAAUUUAAAUCCCGGCUCUGCCACUCACCAUGGCAAAUUACUUUAUCUCUAUGCGCUUUAGUUUCUUCACCUGAAGAAUUGGGGAGAAGAGCACCUAUCACAGGAGGUUGCGUGGGAUUUGUUAACAUAUGUAGGAUGCUUUACGUAGACAUGUCCAGUAAAUAGCAAAGCAAUACAUUGGCAUUUGCUAUUACCAUUAUUAGUAGUAGUAAUAGUAGUAUUUAACAAAAUAAUAUGACCAGAAAUCAAGGUUAAGGAGGAGGUUUAACUACAGAUCUUCCCUGACCUUCGGUGGGGUUAUGUCCCCAUAAUUACAUCCUAAGUUGAAAAGGUCUGAAGUCAAAAUGCAUUUAAUACACUUAACCUACUGAACAUCAGUCUGCCUACCUAAAUGCGCUCAGAACACCUACGCCUACACCUACAUUAACUACCCUUGGUCAAAAUCAUCUAACGCAAAGCCUGUUUUAUAAUAGUGUUUGGAUACCUCAUGUAAUUUAUUGAAAACUGUACUGAAAGGGAAAAGCAGAAUGAUUUUAAGUGCAUCCUUUGUUUACUCUUGUGAUCUAGUGGCUGACUGGGAGCUGCUGCCCAGCGUCCCGAGAAUACCCUACGGCACGUCACUAGCCUGGGAACAGAUCCACAUAAGAUUCGAAGUAUGGUUUCUACUGAAUGCGUAUCACUCUCACACCAUCAAAAAGUCAAAAGAUCUUAAGUCUAACUGUUGUAAACAAGGGACUAACUGUAGUUUUGUCUUCUUUUCUCCUCUCUUUCUGUUGCUUGUAUCCUUGCAGAUAAAUCUGACUUUAAUUUUCUGUGUACAGGUCUCCAGAGUGCUGGAGGCAUCCUCUGUUGUUUGCUAAAAAUGAAAAUGUGCUCCCUACCAAAUUUUGGCUAAUUGUGUCUGCUUCAACCAAGAGCACAUAUCUUUUUUUAUUAUGCAUACAGCUUAAGGUGGUUAGUCAUAUUAUUAGCCAUAAUUAUUUUCCUGACCUAAUUGUCAUACAGUUAUGUGGUGUCUUGUAUUUUCAUAAUGCCUCACAACCACUAAUUGUAUAAAGGGGUCUGUUUAACACAGGCUUACUUAGAGUUGUUUGGAUUUGAUGAUGCCUGUCUUUGUAUACUUAUUAUAAACGUAAUAAAAAAUGUUUUGUUCCAGAU